CCUACGGGUGGCUGCAGUGGGGAAUAUUGGACAAUGGGGGGAACCCUGAUCCAGCCAUGCCGCGUGUGUGAAGAAGGCCCUCGGGUUGUAAAGCACUUUCAGUGAGGAAGAACGCCUGGUGGUUAAUACCCAUCAGGAAAGACAUCACUCACAGAAGAAGCACCGGCUAACUCCGUGCCAGCAGCCGCGGUAAUACGGAGGGUGCGAGCGUUAAUCGGAAUUACUGGGCGUAAAGCGCGCGUAGGUGGCUUGAUAAGCCGGUUGUGAAAGCCCCGGGCUCAACCUGGGAACGGCAUCCGGAACUGUCAAGCUAGAGUGCAGGAGAGGAAGGUGGAAUUCCCGGUGUAGCGGUGAAAUGCGUAGAGAUCGGGAGGAAUACCAGUGGCGAAGGCGGCCUUCUGGACUGACACUGACACUGAGGUGCGAAAGCGUGGGUAGCAAACAGGAUUAGAUACCCUAGUAGUC
rnacentral:rRNA from 1 species